GACGAACGCUGGCGGCGUGCUUAACACAUGCAAGUCGAACGGAAAGGCCCUGCUUUUGCGGGGUGCUCGAGUGGCGAACGGGGGAGUAACACGUGAGUAACCUGCCCCUGACUUUGGGAUAACUUCAGGAAACUGCGGCUAAUACCGGAUAGGAGAUCCUGCAGCAUGGUGGGGGAUGGUAAGAUUCGGCGGUUGGGGAUGGGCUCGCGGCUUAUGAGCUUGUUGGUGGAGUAGGGGCUGACAAAGGCUGCGAAGGCUAGGCGACCUGGGAGGUUGGACGGGCACAAGACUACUGAGAUAGGGCGCAGUCGCGAACGGUACGCAGUAGUGGAGAGUAUUACACAGUAGGCGGGAGCGUGUUGCGGCGGCGCUGCGUGCGUGAUGCCGUGUUUCGAGUUGUAAACCGAUGUCGCCGUAAACGUAGAGUUAGUGACGGUACCGGGUAAGGAAGCCCCGGCUAACUACGUG
rnacentral:rRNA from 1 species